GACGAACGCUGGUGGCGUGCUCAACACAUGCAAGUCGAGCGAUGAAGCACCUUCGGGUGUGAAUUAGCGGCGAACGGGUGAGGAACACGUGAAGAAUCUGCCUUCAACUCUGGGAUAACUCCGGGAAACCGGGGCUAAUACCGGAUAUGAGCCUUGAUCGCAUGAUCGGGGCUGGAAAGUUUUUCGGUUGAAGAUGACUUCGCGGCCUAUCAGCUUGUUGGUGAGGUAAUGGCUCACCAAGGCGACGACGGGUAGCCGGCCUGAGAGGGCGACCGGCCACACUGGGACUGAGACACGGCCCAGACUCCUACGGGAGGCAGCAGUGGGGAAUAUUGGGCAAUGGAGGAAACUCUGACCCAGCGACGCCGCGUGAGGGAUGAAGGCCUUCGGGUUGUAAACCUCUUUCAGUAGGGAAGAAGCGAAAGUGACGGUACCUACAGAAGAAGCACCGGCUAACUAUGUGCCAGCAGCCGCAGUAA
rnacentral:rRNA from 1 species